rfam:Danio rerio chromosome 21, GRCz11 reference primary assembly.
UGCCUCAUUGAUUGUAAGAUGCUUUGGACAAAAGCAUCUGCUAAAUGACUAAAU